CUAUUUUACAGAAAUAGUAUAGUAUGGACAGCAGUAGCGCACACUUCCUCACAUAACCCUGGCAGUGUGCCUCAGUCCUGACCUGGGAGCGAGCACUUCUAAGGUGAAAG
ensembl:misc_RNA